GGAUACUUCAAAAUGUGCUAUACAGCUCUGCUUAUCAUACAACUCUUGUAGGUCAUAGCUCUAGCAGUGGGCAUAUACUUAUGCUGGCUUUACAACUCAUUUGAUAUGGAUGCCAGCACAUAGCACUUGACCCAACUAUCUUCAUCCGUCCACUUUUUAUAAGCUGUUCUUUGCUCAGUAGUAGGAUGGUUUGGUGAUACUAGGGGUUCCUGAUC
rnacentral:lncRNA from 1 species